rnacentral:lncRNA from 1 species
ACACACUUGGAAGGAAGCAACACUAAUGAUAUUCUGAUCUCAGACUUCUAUCUGCUGGAAUAAAUUAAUGUUCUUGAAGUCAUCUUGUUUGUGGUAUUUUUUUACAGCAGCCAUGGCAAACAAAUACACUCAUGAAAGAUCAUAUAUUGCUGUAUAAGGUUACAUUCUUAUUUUUGGUUAGUUUGGCCUAAAAUGCUUGCUUGUUAAGAUAAUGUUGAUGCAUUGAUAGUUUUCUCUAAGGAGUUAGAGAGGAAACUCCACAUAUCCCUCCCUCCCUCCACACAUCCUUGCCCUCCCUCUUGCAUUUUUACAAGCUGGGGCAACAAGUAUAGCUCAGAUUGGAGCCCAUGAUAAAGCUCUGCUGUCCACUUCCCUUCCAGGUAGUCUUGGGUGACACUCUGGGUACUGUCAUUCAACCAGAAACAAAGUCAUCUAAUUUUACGAUCAGUCCGUGUUACUCUGUUUUGUCUGUAGGAUGGUGUUAAGGACCUUGUUAAGCUGCUGGCUGAAAUCUAGAUAAAUGACAUUGACAGAAUUUUCAUCAUGUAGUGAUUCAGUAACUCAAAUAUGUGACUUAACAUGAGUUAAUGUGUGUGCAUGUGUGUGUGAACCCAACCAUAUGUGCAUAUCGUUACACAUACAAUCUCAUGUAUACAACCUCACUACACAUUUUCAAUGGUAGGAGAGCUUGGUCCAAGCAGGUAUAUUUGAUGCCUAGUCCAGAAAAAAACCAACAACUUCAGAAUGAACUAUUAAAAGAAAAAAAACUGUGAUAAUUAAACACUGCUAAGAAAAAAAACUAUAUCAAACCCAACUCAUUUGUAAAAUAGGUUUGAGCUGGUGGUGUCAUCUGUGCUUCCCCAGGCCCUUCUAGCUUCAUUGCUAACUUAGAUAAUGACCCAGAGAAUGGAUCCUACAACAGAAAGAACAUUAAUGGAAAAACUCGUAAAGCCCAAACAAAGUCAGGAGUGCAGUUAAUACUAAUUCACCAAUGUCAGAUACUUAGUUUGACGAAUGAACCUUGGGUCAAGUAAGAUAGUAACAGCAGGGAAACCUGGCUCAGACACAUAGGGGAACUUUCUGUCCUGUCUUUGCAACUUUUCUGUAAAUCAAAAAUUCUUUCCCAAAUCUAGUUUUUUUAAGGAAAAACAAAAAAGGCAAGUUAAAGGUAGAUGGAUGGGGCAAACUCACAGAAGAAAAUUAACUGGGGAAUAAAAUGAACUCACUGAUGGCUCCAUUCAACAAACACUUGUUGAACACAUCUGAUGUGUCAGAUAGUAGCAGACACUGUAUUAUGAGGAUUUAAAACGGGUAGACUGCCUCUCUGUAAGGAGACCCAUGGAUUUCUACCCUGAAAUAGAAAGUUCUAACCGCCUGAGUACAGAUAUGAAAUCUAACCACACGGGAUUCCAUAGGGAUCUUAGUUAACAAGUUCAAUUUUAAGCAUGCAUGUGCUGUGGAUGAAAGGAAGUUAAUGUAAUAUUAGCCUGCAUUCAUGGAAUUCCAGGAGGCAGGAAAGGAUGAAGGCACACACCAUGUGGAUUUACAGCCUUGUGGCUCCAAGCUCACAUCACUGUCCUGAGUGGCAAAGCCCUGCAGAUGAGAAUUCCUUGUCUGGGGAG